rnacentral:rRNA from 1 species
GACAGAGGUGCCGAGCGUUAGGCGGAAUCACUGGGCUUAAAGCGUGUGUAGGCGGACUUCUAAGUACCUUGUGAAAUCCCACGGCUCAACCGUGGAACUGCUCGGUAUACUGGUUGUCUUGAGCCACUUAGGGGCAGUCGGAACAGACGGUGGAGCGGUGAAAUGCGUAGAUAUCGUCUGGAACGCCAAAGGUGAAAACAGGUAGCUGGGGGUGUGCUGACACUGAGACACGAAAGCCAGGGGAGCAAACGGGG